rnacentral:rRNA from 1 species
GAGUUUGAUCGUGGCUCAGAACGAACGCUGGCGGCAGGCUUAACACAUGCAAGUCGAGCGCUGUAGCAAUACAGAGCGGCGCACGGGUGAGUAACACGUGGGAACAUGCCUUUCGGUUCGGAAUAACUCAGGGAAACUUGUGCUAAUACCGGAUACGCCCUUACGGGGAAAGAUUUAUUGCCGAAAGAGUGGCCCGCGUUGGAUUAGCUAGUUGGCGGGGUAAAAGCCCACCAAGGCGACGAUCCAUAGCUGGUCUGAGAGGACGACCAGCCACACUGGGACUGAGACACGGCCCAGACUCCUACGGGAGGCAGCAGUGGGGGAAUCUUGGACAAUGGGGGAAACCCUGAUCCAGCCAUGCCGCGUGAGUGAUGAAGGCCCUAGGGUUGUAAAACUCUUUCGGCGGGGACGAUAAUGACGGUACCCGCAGAAGAAGCUCCGGCUAACUUCGUGCCAGCCGCCGCGGUAAC